rnacentral:lncRNA from 1 species
AUUUGGGCACACCAACUAACAGAAUCACUGUUUGUUUCAAGAUUAAUGUCUGCUUGUGAUACAAGAGCUAUAAUAUUUGGUAGAACAUUUAUAAUGAACAUCUAAAGCUCAUUGUGCUAAGCCUUUUUCUUUCUUUUUAUUUUUUUUGGGCAAAACUCAGUCCCUUUUACCCCAUAUUACACCCUUAUAAUAAUAAGAAGUGUUGUGGCC